AUUACGAGAUUGGCUUGGCUUCUGUCGGAUGGACUUGGGGCCAGCUGCGGCGGGAGUGGAGGAGGCCAGAUAACCAUGUCAGCCACAGUUGUAGAUGCAGUUAAUGCUGCACCCCUAUCGGGGUCCAAAGAAAUGAGUUUGGAAGAACCAAAGAAGAUGACCAGAGAGGACUGGAGAAAGAAGAAGGAGCUAGAAGAACAGCGAAAAUUGGGCAAUGCUCCUGCAGAAGUUGAUGAAGAAGGAAAAGACAUCAACCCCCAUAUUCCUCAGUAUAUUUCUUCAGUGCCAUGGUAUAUUGAUCCUUCAAAAAGACCUACUUUAAAACACCAGAGACCACAACCAGAAAAACAAAAGCAGUUCAGCUCAUCUGGAGAAUGGUACAAGAGGGGUGUAAAAGAGAAUUCCAUAAUUACUAAGUACCGCAAAGGAGCAUGUGAAAAUUGUGGGGCCAUGACACACAAAAAGAAAGACUGCUUUGAGGUAAGUUCACUUUUGAAAAUUUUGAAAACCAUUGUCAGAGUCUUUCUUUUUUCUUUGUCAGAGAGCUUACUUCUCUUUUUCUGAAAUCACCUAUAUU
rnacentral:sRNA from 1 species